AUUGAACGCUGGCGGCAGGCCUAACACAUGCAAGUCGAACGAGUGGCGGACGGGUGGGUAAUGUAUGGGAAUCUGCCUGAUGGAGGGGGAUAGCUACUGGGAGCGGUAGCUAAUACCGCAUACCAUCAGAUGUGCCCAGAUGGGAUUAGCUCGUGGGUGGGGUAACGGCUCACCAAGGCGACGAUCCCGAGCUGGUCGGAGAGGAUGACCAGCCAAACGGGAACUGAGACACGGGCCAGACUCCUACGGGAGGCAGCAGUGGGGAAUAUUGCACAAUGGGCGCAAGCCUGAUGCAGCCAUGCCGCGUGUAUGAAGAAGGCCUUCGGGUUGUAAAGUACUUUUAGCGGGGAGGCGGUACCCGCAGAAGAAGCACCGGCUAACUCCGUGCCAGCAGCCGCGGUAAUUC
rnacentral:rRNA from 1 species